UACAGAGGUCUCAAGCGUUGUUCGGAUUCAUUGGGCGUAAAGGGUGCGUAGGCGGCCCUGUAAGUCAGUGGUGAAAUACUGCAGCUUAACUGUAGCAUUGCCAUUGAUACUGUAGGGCUUGAGUACAGAUGAGGUAGGCGGAAUUGAUGGUGUAGCGGUGAAAUGCGUAGAUAUCGGGAGGAACACCUGUGGCGAAAGCGGCGCACUGGACCACAACUGACGCUGAGGCGCGAAAGCUAGGGGAGCAAACAGG
rnacentral:rRNA from 1 species